rnacentral:rRNA from 1 species
AUCGAUCUUGGCGAGGUUUAUAGCAAGAAAAAAAAAAAAGAAACUUGAAAUUUCUUUUUCUUUUUUUUGGCUAUAGCAAAACAAAAUAUAAUCACUUUUUUUAUCGAUCUGAAAUCAGGUGGGAACUACCCGCUGGAACUAAUAAAA